GAUGAACGCUGGCGGCGUGCCUAAUACAUGCAAGUCGAGCGAACGGACGAGAAGCUUGCUUCUCUGAUGUUAGCGGCGGACGGGUGAGUAACACGUGGAUAACCUACCUAUAAGACUGGGAUAACUUCGGGAAACCGGAGCUAAUACCGGAUAAUAUUUUGAACCGCAUGGUUCAAAAGUGAAAGACGGUCUUGCUGUCACUGAUAGAUGGAUCCGCGCUGCAUUAGCUAGUUGGUAAGGUAACGGCUUACCAAGGCAACGAUGCAUAGCCGACCUGAGAGGGUGAUCGGCCACCCUGGAACUGAGACGCGGUCCAGACUCCUACGGGAGGCAGCAGUAGGGAAUCUUCCGCAAUGGGCGAAAGCCUGACGGAGCAACGCCGCGUGAGUGAUGAAGGUCUUCGGAUCGUAAAACUCUGUUAUUAGGGAAGAACAUAUGUGUAAGUAACUGUGCACAUCUUGACGGUACCUAGUCAGAAAGCCACGGCUAACUACGUG
rnacentral:rRNA from 1 species